rnacentral:lncRNA from 1 species
AACAACCUCUCUGGCUCAAUACUGUGCUCCCUCUGAGGCUCCCUCUGUCACUCCACUCUCCAUUCCAGCUGACCUGGAGAAGGAACGCCUGGGGAGCCCAGACCAAGAUCUACACCUUCCAGUGCCUGCAGCUCUCAGCGUGAGGUCGAGUGCUAAGAAAAUGUGGAUGCACGGAAAAGCAGGAAGGCAGAGGGCAAAACUGAUAGAUGCAGUGGACAAGAGGGGUGCUACGUGGAUGGCAGUAAGAGACAGGCAUUUGCUGUUUGGAAGGACAAAACCAGGCUGUUAUUCUCGGAAGCUGGAUGGAUGAGUGGGUGAGUGACAACCGGAUGGAAGGAGGGGGCUGACCAAGGUCUGAGAGAUGCAGAUGA